GCCAGGAUGGGAACUCCUCUGGUGCAAAACACAAUAGGAAGCACAAGAUCCAGUUCCCAGGCUGGAGAGGGCGGGGCCCUUCAGACCCACCCUGAGUGGGCGGUGACCACAGGCGGCUCCCUGCCUCUGUGACGUCAGGGAAGUCCCGCCCACAGCUGUCAGCCACUGUCCAUACCAAGUUGUGUGCUGGCCAGGAAGUUGCUCCUUUCUGGGGUCAUGAUGGGCAGCAAGAUGGCGUCUGCCACCGGGUUGCCCAGAAUUAAAACAUGCUUCAGAAAGUAAGCUUAUAAUACUACAAACCGAGAAUAAAAAACCUGAGAAAGGAGCUGGACAGUAUGGAAAAUUCAGACAAGAUAAACACCAUGCAACAAAGCCUACAGAAAGAGAUGAAGCUUGCUACAGUUACUCAACAUGUGUUCUAGAGCAUCAUUUUGGGGUGUAAAGUCAACUGGGCAGCAGAUCCAGCACUCAGGGAAACUGUUCUGCAGCUUGAAAAGGCUCUCACCACAGUCUAACAAGAAUUCCACUGGGCCAGGUGUCGCCAUGUGUGCCUUUGAUCUCAGCACUCAGGAGGCUGAAACAAGAGGAUUGCCACAUGCUGAAGACCAGCAAAGAUUUGCACCUUGAAGUUUUUGGAUUUUUGUCUCUGAUAUGUCAUUUAAAUAGCAAGUUUCAAGUGAAAUGAAUUUGCGAUGUUUGGGGAACUCUCCUAAUCUGUAAUUGCUUUUUAGCUUCAGUUAACACUCUAACAUAGAAUCAGUGAUUUUAAAUAACACUAAAGUGACUGUGUACUCUUAAAAAGGGAAUGUCUUAGUCAUAGAAAAGACACCUGGUCUGAUAUCUGAGGAGCAGGCGCAGUUUUGGACAUUCACAAGGUCCCAGCAUUUGAUUGUAAUACUUGUGUGCAUUUCUGCAUUUGUCAGUCAGGAUGCAGAGAGGUCUCCAGAGUGUCAGCAGCUGGUAUAAUUCGUAGUGGGGUUAUGCGUAACUGUCUUCUGUUCUCUCUGUGUCUGUUUCUCCCCUCACACAUACUUCUGCUCACACACAUACAAGAUGCUGGCUACACUCUGGCAAUGCUGAUGUACAGUGACAUCUUUGCCCAUUUUCAGUUCUGUUUAGACACAAACUCUUGCCAACUUACCAAGGCUGGCUUCAGACUCGGAACCCUCCUGAACAACUGAGAUUACAAGCAUGUACUGCCAUGUCCAGUACAGCUCUUUAUUAAUUAGGAGCUAUUGAUCAUAUUUGUGGACAGUGUGAUGUUUUCAGUAUUCUUACUGGAAUAAAGUGAAACUUGAAAAGAUGCGCUCAUUGGAUAAUAGCUCAUGAAAUCUGUUCUUUAGAUUAAUAACAAAGAGAGAUUUCCCUAAGCUCAAAUAGUAGGCUUUUCUUUGAAAUAUUUAUACCUUGCUUUCUUUCAUCAAUCAUACUGUAUGCAUAGAUUUAUUCUUUUUGUCAGUUAUUGUUUUGAGGUAGAGUCUCACUGUGUCCUUCAGGGCAUUCUUGAACUCACUAUGUAGCCCAGGCUGUCCUAGAACUUCCUGCAGUCCUCCUGCCUCAGCCUCCUGAGUAGUAGGUUACAGGGAUGCACCACCACACCUGAUCUGUUGUUGUCUAUAUCAAUUUUUAUGAAGUAACUUACGUUUUGCGUGCAAAUUAUUAUUUUGGAAAA